CGUGCUCAAUUCAUUGAGCCAGUGGAUGCCAAGUCUGCCUUCUGAAAGGUGAUCUCCCAAUCGAAGGACGUCGGUGUGAAAAGGACCCACCAAAACCGGGAAAAAAAAGGACUGACAGCCGAUUCGUGUGCAUCGUAGAUUACACAGUUGCUUCUUCUUCAGUCAUCAUGAAGGCUAUUGUGAUCUUCAUUUGUCUGUGCGCGCUGGCGGUGAGUACUACCCACGGCCUGUCCUGUGUUCCUUGCACCCCUGAGGAGUCAACUUGCCCAAGGGGCAAGUUGACAGAUUCCGACUGCCCUUACGGGGUCACCAAGGACGUCUGCGGUUGCUGUGACACCUGCGCUAAGGGCCCAGGGGAGACUUGUGGAGGCCCCUGGGGCUUAGAAGGAACAUGCGGUCCUGAAUACUCGUGCAUCUUCAACAAAACAAGGCCCGGUCUAUCAUUCCAGGCCACGGGACGAUGCGCGUAAAAGGUACGAUACGCGUCUCGUACGGGUUUGUCGAUCGACCGCCUUCUGAUACGCGUACGGAAGACGAAUCUGAGACAACCAGUGAAUCUGGAUGCUGGAGGAAUUGAUGAAGUGUUUGUAGUUGAUAUUUUUAUAUAUGUAAUUUGAUGUAAUUUGUUGUUUUAAUUCUUUCUGUUUAAGAAUCUGGUCCUAGGGAAUUAAUAACUGUUGUACUUCAGAGAUUAUUAAAAAGUGAAUGGGCGCCAAUUUUGAAUGAGAUUGUCUUGAAAUGUCAAGAGAUUUUGUUAACAGCUCGUCCGCCAUCUUGGAUUUUAGAAAAAUAAAUAAAUAUCAAGA